UAGGGAAUCUUCCGCAAUGGGCGAAAGCCUGACGGAGCAACGCCGCGUGAGUGAUGAAGGUCUUCGGAUCGUAAAACUCUGUUAUUAGGGAAGAAUAAAUGUGUAAGUAACUAUGCACGUCUUGACGGUACCUAAUCAGAAAGCCACGGCUAACUACGUGCCAGCAGCCGCGGUAAUACGUAGGUGGCAAGCGUUAUCCGGAAUUAUUGGGCGUAAAGCGCGCGUAGGCGGUUUUUUAAGUCUGAUGUGAAAGCCCCCGGCUCAACCGGGGAGGGUCAUUGGAAACUGGUUGACUUGAGUGCAGAAGAGGAGAGUGGAAUUCCAUGUGUAGCGGUGAAAUGCGUAGAUAUAUGGAGGAACACCAGUGGCGAAGGCGACUCUCUGGUCUGUAACUGACGCUGAGGCUCGAAAGCGUGGGUAGCAAACAGG
rnacentral:rRNA from 1 species